CAAAGGUUUGGUCCUAGCCUUUCUAUUGGUUGUCAGUAAACUUACACAUGCAAGAAUCCCCACCCCUGUGAAAAUGCCCUUCAGACUAUCACCUAUAGUACAAGGAGCUGGUAUCAAGCACACUAAAAGUAGCUCGCGACACCUUGCUCAGCCACACCCUCACGGGAAACAGCAGUGAUAGAAAUUAAGCAAUAGACGAAAGUCUGACUAAGUUAUACUUCUAAGGACUGGUAAAUUUCGUGCCAGCCACCGCGGUCAUACGAUUAGACCAAACUAAUAGACGUUCGGCGUAAAGAGUGUCCUAGAACUACAAUAACCAAUAAAGCCAAACUUUAACUAAACUGUAAAAAGCCCUAGUUACUGUAAGAUAGACAACGAAAGUGACUUUAAAACAUCUGACACACGAUAACUAAGACCCAAACUGGGAUUAGAUACCCCACUAUGCUUAGUCCUAAACGUAAAAAAUUACAAACAAAAUUAUUCGCCAGAGUACUACCAGCAACAGCUAGAAACUCAAAGGACUUGGCGGUGCCCCGCAUCCCUCUAGAGGAGCCUGUUCUAUAAUCGAUACACCCCGUUAAACCUCACCAAUCCUCGCCAAAUUCAGCCUAUAUACCGCCAUCUUCAGCAAACCCUAAAAAGGAAAAAGAGUAAGCACAAAUAUUAACAUAAAAACGUUAGGUCAAGGUGUAGCCAAUGGAUUGGAAAGAAAUGGGCUACAUUCCUCGAACCGAGGAAAUAUUAUACGAAAGUCUCUGUGAAACCAGAAAUUAAAGGUGGAUUUAGCAGUAAAUUAAGAAUAGAGAGCUUAAUUGAAUAAGGCUACGGAGCACGCACACACCGCCCGUCACCCUCCUCAAACAAACAACCUAAUUAUACAUAAUACUUUACUACAAACACGCUAGAGGAGAUAA
rnacentral:ncRNA from 1 species